AUUGAACGCUGGCGGCAUGCCUUACACAUGCAAGUCGAACGGCAGCACGGGAGCAAUCCCGGUGGCGAGUGGCGAACGGGUGAGUAAAGUAUCGGAACGUGCCCAGUCGUGGGGGAUAACGUAGCGAAAGUUACGCUAAUACCGCAUACGAUCUAUGGAUGAAAGCGGGGGAUCGCAAGACCUCGCGCGAUUGGAGCUGCCGAUAUCAGAUUAGGUAGUUGGUGGGGUGAAGGCUCACCAAGCCGACGAUCUGUAGCUGGUCUGAGAGGACGACCAGCCACACUGGGACUGAGACACGGCCCAGACUCCUACGGGAGGCAGCAGUGGGGAAUUUUGGACAAUGGGCGAAAGCCUGAUCCAGCCAUGCCGCGUGCAGGAUGAAGGCCUUCGGGUUGUAAACUGCUUUUGUACGGAACGAAAAGGUUUGGCCUAAUAAGCUGAGCUCAUGACGGUACCGUAAGAAUAAGCACCGGCUAACUACGUGCCAGCAGCCGCCGUAA
rnacentral:rRNA from 1 species